UGAGGAAUAUUGGUCAAUGGGCGCGAGCCUGAACCAGCCAUCCCGCGUGCAGGAAGACGGCCCUAUGGGUUGUAAACUGCUUUUGUGCAGGAAGAAUGUACUCAUCGAGAUGGGUAUUGACGGUACUGCAUGAAUAAGCACCGGCUAACUCCGUGCCAGCAGCCGCGGUAAUACGGAGGGUGCAAGCGUUAUCCGGAUUUAUUGGGUUUAAAGGGUGCGUAGGCGGUAGAAUAAGUCAGUGGUGAAAAGCUGCAGCUCAACUGUAGUCCUGCCAUUGAAACUGUUUAACUUGAGUAACCAUGAGGUAGGCGGAAUGUGUAGUGUAGCGGUGAAAUGCUUAGAUAUUACACAGAACACCGAUUGCGUAGGCAGCUUACUAGAGGUUUACUGACGCUGAUGCACGAAAGCGUGGGGAUCAAACA
rnacentral:rRNA from 1 species